rnacentral:lncRNA from 1 species
AGACCUCCAAAAUAUGGCUCUGGCGUCAGCUGUGAUACAGGGAGGAGAGACAGGCCCCAGGGUGGGGCAGUCCAGGUAGCCUGAAAGAGAAGCAAGUUCCUGGCACACAGCUGAAGAAACACUCCUGGGGAUUCACCUGGUAGCAAAACCUCCCCCUUGGCUUCCUCCUGUUGUUCACACAGCAGACCCAAAGUUCCAGGGGAUCCAAGGCAUUGAGAGAGAGAGAGAGAGAGAGAGAGAGAGAGAGAGAGAGAGAGAGAAGCUAAGGACCCCUUGAUGCUCAGCAAUACAUGGCUCUGCUCUCAAGUCACCAGAACCCUGGAAACUACAGGCUGUCUUCCACCAGACAGCACACAUCCCCAGUGAACAGAGGACCUUUUUCUUUACUGCAAAUGCUGGACAUGCACCUCACCAUAGCCUUUGGUAGAGACCCUUUCUUUGAACCAUUUUGCCUGGUUUUAGGAUCUUCAUUGCAGGGUGGAAUUUUGGGGUCCCUAAGGCCCCUGCGCCACACUACAAGAACUGAUCUGGGGUUUAAGUCCUAGUACACUUUUCUCCCACAUACUAAACAUAACUCUCCUGCCCCAGGAUUGUGGGCAGGGCAUUGCUGUCCACCCUGGAGGGUUGUAAGGGCAGUAGACAGAGCAAGGGUCUCACCAGUCAACCGUGUUGUGAAGUGUUUGGAA